UAGGGAAUAUUGGGCAAUGGAGGCAACUCUGACCCAGCCAUGCCGCGUGAAGGAUGAAUGUCCUACGGAUUGUAAACUUCUUUUAUAAGGGAAGAAAAACCCCGAUUUAUUCGGGGCCUGACGGUACCUUAUGAAUAAGCACCGGCUAACUCCGUGCCAGCAGCCGCGGUAAUACGGAGGGUGCAAGCGUUAUCCGGAUUCACUGGGUUUAAAGGGUGCGUAGGUGGGUCGGUAAGUCAGUGGUGAAAGCCCCGAGCUCAACUUGGGAACUGCCAUUGAUACUGCCGGUCUUGAGUAUGGUUGAGGUGGGCGGAAUGUUGCAUGUAGCGGUGAAAUGCUUAGAUAUGCAACAGAACACCGAUUGCGAAGGCAGCUCACCAAGCCAUUACUGACACUGAGGCACGAAAGCGUGGGGAUCAAACAGGAUUAGAUACCCCCGUAGUCC
rnacentral:rRNA from 1 species